rnacentral:rRNA from 1 species
GACGAACGCUGGCGGCGUGCUUAACACAUGCAAGUGGUGCGACGAACCAGGGCUUGCCCUGGGGCAAAGCCGCGAACGGGUGAGUAACACGUGGGUAAUCUGCCCCGAUGACCGGGACAACCCGAGGAAACUCGGGCUAAUACCGGAUGUGGUGCACUGGCAUAAGCCGGUGUACUAAAGGAAGCUUCGGCCUCCGCAUUGGGAGGUGCCCGCGGCCCAUUAGCUUGUUGGUGGGGUAACGGCCUACCAAGGCAACGAUGGGUAGCUGGUCUGAGAGGACGAUCAGCCACACUGGGACUGAGACACGGCCCAGACUCCUACGGGAGGCAGCAGUGGGGAAUCUUGCGCAAUGCGCGAAAGCGUGACGCAGCAACGCCGCGUGGGGGAAGACGGCCUUCGGGUUGUAAACCCCUUUCAGGAGGGACGAAGGUUCGCCGGUGAAUAGCCGUGCGGA